rnacentral:rRNA from 1 species
CAAGCGUUGUUCGGAAUUACUGGGCGUAAAGGGCUCGUAGGCGGCCAACUAAGUCAGACGUGAAAUCCCUCGGCUUAACCGGGGAACUGCGUCUGAUACUGGAUGGCUUGAGUUUGGGAGAGGGAUGCGGAAUUCCAGGUGUAGCGGUGAAAUGCGUAGAUAUCUGGAGGAACACCGGUGGGGAAGGCGGAAGCCUGGACCAACACUGAAGCUGAGUGAGCGAAAGCCAGGGGAGCAAACGGG